UAAAAGAAGAUUAGUGAAGAAAAUUUGGUCUUUCGACGAGGGUGUUGUUUAAUUAUUAGAGUUUACUAACAAAAGUUAACAUUUGAGGGCAAGAAAGAAAUAAUUUUUGAAAGAGAGCAAAAGAACUACUGAAUAGCAGUCCCUUAGGCUUCGUUUGGUUCGGGCAUAAGCAAGAACUAGUUAUAUCGGGGAUAGGUACAAGUAUGCAUGGAUUUUCGUAGGAACAAGGGUAUUUUUUUGUUUGGAUGAAAAUGUGAGUAUAAGCUGGAACUAGAAAAAUUAUGUUUGGAUGAAAAUGUGAGUAUAAGAUAGAAUAGUUGAUAGUUAUAAAUAGAAAAUAAUGAAAUAAUGAUAUUACCCUUAUAAUUGAAUUUAAAAUUUUAAACUUAUAAUUUUAAAUUGAAAUUUUUAACUUAAAAAUUUUAAAUUUUUAAAUUAAAAUUUUAAUUUUUAAUUUUUAAAAUUUUAAUUUUAAAUAUCAAAUUAUAAAUUUAAAACCAAAUUUAAAUUUGAAAGAUAUAAAAUAUCAAAUUUAAAAUUUAAAAAC
rnacentral:lncRNA from 1 species